GCUAGGAUGAACGCUAGCGGCAGGCUUAACACAUGCAAGUCGAGGGGCAGCGGGAUGUAGCAAUACAUUGCCGGCGACCGGCGGAUGGGUGCGUAACGCGUAUGCAACCUACCUUAUACAGGGGAAUAACCUUUCGAAAGGGAGACUAACACCCCAUAGUAUUGAUUUAAGGCAUCUUAGAUUAAUUAAAUAUUUAUAGGUAUAAGAUGGGCAUGCGUAUGAUUAGCUAGUUGGUAAGGUAACGGCUUACCAAGGCGACGAUCAUUAGGGGUUCUGAGAGGAAGGUCCCCCACACUGGUACUGAGACACGGACCAGACUCCUACGGGAGGCAGCAGUGAGGAAUAUUGGUCAAUGGGCGCAAGCCUGAACCAGCCAUGCCGCGUGCCAGGAAGACGGCCUUAUGGGUUGUAAACUGCUUUUACAUAAGACUAACCGUAUAUUUGCGAAUAUACCUGAAUGUAUUAUGAGAAUAAGGAUCGGCUAACUCCGUGCCAGCAGCCGC
rnacentral:rRNA from 1 species